UACGUAGGGGGCAAGCGUUGUCCGGAAUGACUGGGCGUAAAGGGCGUGUAGGCGGCUCUUUAAGUCUGAAGUGAAAGUCCUGCUUUCAAGGUGGGAAUUGCUUUGGAGACUGGAGAGCUUGAGUGCGGAAGAGUUAAGUGGAAUUCCCAGUGUAGCGGUGAAAUGCGUAGAGAUUGGGAGGAACACCAGUGGCGAAGGCGACUUACUGGGCCGUAACUGACGCUGAGGCGCGAAAGCGUGGGGAGCGAACAGG
rnacentral:misc_RNA from 1 species